rnacentral:lncRNA from 1 species
CUAUACCACACUGCACUAUUUCCAUGAGAUACUUUUGUUCUAUGAGUUUAUGCACUAAGAUUGAGUACAAACAAAGAAAGGAUGGUUUAGCAUGAUUAAUGUGGAGUUAUUUAAUAACUGUUAUAUGGUAUAACUUGUUAUUUUCUUUGUUCAUAAAACACAUCUUGAUGCCAAGGACAAACCAAAAAAUUGAGAAAGAAAAAUUUAUUACCUGGACUGAGUCCGUUUCAAACAUCUUGUGCUCUUGCGUAUAGAAUAACACAAAAGAGUUAUUGAUGUUACUUGGUUAAUCAAGCAUUCAAAUUCCAUGUUGAUUAACUUCUAAUCGGAAGUGUCAGGAUUAAGCAUUAUUUUGCGAUGACUAUAUCUUGAGGACAUUUUUUAUUUGAUUACAUCUUCUAUGGUAUUUUGUGAAAUCUUAAUUGUUUUUAUUAGUUGAUUUUGUUAUAGACUGAUUAUUCAUUAAAGAUAAGUUUAAGGAAGUCAUCCGUUUAAAGAAGUCUGAUGACUAAGGUAUAAAUUGGGUCAUGAGCAACACCAACUUGAUGAGUAAAUAAAAUAAGUUUAUUGCCAAGCACAUAAUAAUGUUGAGAUGAUAUAAAAAAAUGCCAUGUCAGUCCAUAUUUUAUUCUUUUAGUGGUGAUAGGAAUUGUAUCAAUGAAUCUACGUCACAACUGUAUAUUUUAAUAGACUUUUUAGACAUUUGCUAAUCAUGUGAUUGGGCUUACUUCUUUCUUUUGUUUGAGGGUAAGUAAAAUUGUAGACAAUCUUUUCUGGAGAUUGUUUGCAUUAAAUUUUCAGUAUAUUUAUAUAGUUGUUAGCAUUAGCUUAUUAAAAAAAUAAGAAUUAGCAUUUCUUCGAUUGUAGUAACGACGUCUUUGCUUUUAAAUACAUUAUUAUUAUUAUUAUUCCAUCUUUUCUAAAGGAGCGUGACUAAGACACUUAUAGUACUCUAGAGUAAUUUAGUUGCACAGAUACUUGGCUUGUGUCUAUGUUCUCUCUUUCUAGCUUAUUUUUGUAUCAUGAUAUAUUUCAAAUUCUUGGUGUGGGACUUGUAGUAGUAAAUAUUUUCUAUUAAGAAUAUUUAAUAUCUUAUUCUUGUCUCAGAAUAGGAACAAGCUCUCAUGAAGAAUACAAAGUAGUGGAUGUUUUUAGCAAGGUGCAAAUACUUGCAAUACUCUAUAUGACUCGUAAUUAGACUAUGUAAUUUCUAUUGUUCAUAGGUGGUAUAGCACUGAUAGCAACAUAAUACGUCUGGUUAAUCAUGUGGUAUAGAAUGAUAGGUAGGAAAUGAACAAGUAGUCAUAUGCUUGGAUUUGAUUUUGUAAAUGAUUUUAAAAGAAAAGCACAACAAAAUACAAUAUUUUGCUCGGUUCUACACAUGCCGGGCCCCUGGGGAGGUAAAUAUGAAUUU